rnacentral:rRNA from 1 species
CAAUAGCGUAUAUUUAAGUUGUUGCAGUUAAAAAGCUCGUAGUUGGAUUUCGGGUGGGACGCAGCGGUCUCGCAUUGCGUUUGUACUGCUGCAGCCCUCCUUCUUGCCGGGGGCGGCCUCUCGGACUUCACUGUCUGGGGGUCAGAAUCGGCGAUGUUACUUUGAGUAAAUUAGAGUGUUCAAAGCAAGCUUACGCUCUGAAUAUAAUAGCAUGGGAUAACACGACAGGACUCUGGCCUAUCGUGUUGGUCUAUAGGACCAGAGUAAUUAUUAAGAGGGACAGUCGGGGGCAUUCGUAUUCCGUUGUCAGAGGUGAAAUUCUUGGAUUUACGGAAGACGAACAUCUGCGAAAGCAUUUGCCAAGGAUGUUUUCAUUGA